UACGUAGGGGGCAAGCGUUGUCCGGAAUCAUUGGGCGUAAAGAGCGUGUAGGCGGCCCGGUAAGUCCGCUGUGAAAGUCCAGGGCUCAACCCUGGGAUGCCGGUGGAUACUGUCGGGCUCGAGUCCGGAAGAGGCGAGUGGAACUCCUGGUGUAGCGGUGGAAUGCGCAGAUAUCAGGAAGAACACCAACGGCGAAGGCAGCUCGCUGGGACGGAACUGACGCUGAGGCGCGAAAGCGUGGGGAGCGAACAGG
rnacentral:rRNA from 1 species